UUGAAAGGGAAACGAUUGAAGUCAGUCGUACCUAUGGGUAAUCAGCCUUUUGGGUGUGAUUUUGUGGAGCGUGGGGAGUUAAACGCCUUCAUGCCUGCAUAUUCGUGCACUUUGGGUGUACUUGCCCGUGUGUAAGUUAACAUCAAUUUUGGUGGUCAUAAAAUGGCUGGAGGAAUGUAGCUUCGAUCUUGUAUUGAAGUGUUAUAGCCUUCGGUAGAUGUGACGAUCGGGAUUGAGGAUUGCAACGGAUACCCUUCGGGGCUACCUGUCUGAUCUCUGAUUGUUGCUCUGGUGCCGAAAGCUUGCUUACGGUUAUCAAAGUCGAUGGUCAAUAGGUUAGAACGGGUUAAAUUCGUUAAGGAUGUUGACGUA
rnacentral:rRNA from 1 species